rnacentral:rRNA from 1 species
ACGCCCUAAACGAUGUCAACUGGUUGUUGGGAAUUUAUUUUCUCAGUAACGAAGCUAACGCGUGAAGUUGACCGCCUGGGGAGUACGGCCGCAAGGUUAAAACUCAAAGGAAUUGACGGGGACCCGCACAAGCGGUGGAUGAUGUUCUUUAAUUCGAUGCAACGCGAAAAACCUUACCCACCUUUGACAUGUAUGGAAUCCUUUAGAGAUGAAGGAGUGCUCGAAAGAGAGCCAUAACACAGGUGCUGCAUGGCUGUCGUCAGCUCGUGUCGUGAGAUGUUGGGUUAAGUCCCGCAACGAGCGCAACCCUUGCCAUUAGUUGCUACGAAAGGGCACUCUAAUGGGACUGCCGGUGACAAACCGGAGGAAGGUGGGGAUGACGUCAAGUCCUCAUGGCCCUUAUAGGUGGGGCUAGAAACGUCAUACAAUGGCCGGUACAAAGGGUAGCCAAGCCGCGAGGUGGAGCCAAUCCCAUAAAGCCGGUCGUAGUCCGGAUCGCAGUCUGCAACUCGACUGCGUGAAGUCGGAAUCGCUAGUAAUCGUGGAUCAGCAUGCCACGGUGAAUACGUUCCCGGGUCUUGUACACACCGCCCGUCACACCAUGGGAGCGGGUCUCGCCAGAAGUAGGUAGCCUAACCGCAAGGAGGGCGCUUACCACGGCGGGGUUCGUGACUGGGGUGAAGUCGUAACAAGGUAGCCGUAUCGGAAGGUGCGGCUG